rnacentral:lncRNA from 1 species
UAGACUGCUAAAUUUUCAAUGAUUUCAUAUCCAUCCAAAACUUUAAGAUGUUAUUCAGUUUAACAUAUUUGUUAUAGACAAUUUCGAUUAAAAUUUUGCACAGACAAACCUUGUUAACCACCAAAAUGACUUAAAAUUAGCUUUGAUUUAUGAUUGCCUAUCUGUGGACAAAAACAAUUUGAUCAAAUUUUCUACAAAUUUACAGAAAUACACUGUAAUAUGCUAAAUGUAAACAAAGAAGCUGUGAUCCUUUAAGAAUUAAAAACUAAAUGAUAAUAUUUGUUAUUUAAAAGAACCUUCUUUCUUAAAAAUCUA